rnacentral:rRNA from 1 species
AUUGAACGCUGGCGGCAGGCCUAACACAUGCAAGUCGAGCGGCAGCGGGAAAGUAGCUUGCUACUUUUGCCGGCGAGCGGCGGACGGGUGAGUAAUGACUGGGAAAUUGCCCAGUCGAGGGGGAUAACAGUUGGAAACGACUGCUAAUACCGCAUACGCCCUACGGGGGAAAGCAGGGGACCUUCGGGCCUUGCGCGAUUGGAUAUGCCCAGGUGGGAUUAGCUAGUGGGUGAGGUAAUGGCUCACCAAGGCGACGAUCCCUAGCUGGUCUGAGAGGAUGAUCAGCCACACUGGAACUGAGACACGGUCCAGACUCCUACGGGAGGCAGCAGUGGGGAAUAUUGCACAAUGGGGGAAACCCUGAUGCAGCCAUGCCGCGUGUGUGAAGAAGGCCUUCGGGUUGUAAAGCACUUUCAGCGAGGAGGAAAGGUUGAUGCCUAAUACGUAUCAACUGUGACGUUACUCGCAGAAGAAGCACCGGCUAACUCCGUGCCAGCCGCCGCCGUAAAAC